ACCAUCUAAGAUAUUAUCGCAUGAAUGUUUGAGGCUGGGAUAAAUUAAUAGGCUAUACUGUAUGAGCUGAAGCAUCAAAUACAAGCAAAUCCCAACUAGAAAAUGAGAAAUAAACCCCCAAAAUUGGAGACAUUACAGUCCUUACAGUUCUGCUAUAGAAGUAGGCAGACAACAUUUGCAGGCAGGAGUCAACAGGCACUGCUUAUUCCAAAUUCUCUGUUAUUAGGCUUCAGGUAGGAGGUACUCUCUGAUUCUCUGAUUCCUUAGCCGCGGAAUUCAUCCAUGAACUUUUUUAUGGAAUUCUGCGAAGUGAUUCAUUUCCAUCAAAAUACAAAUAUCUUCCUGGAAUAGCUUUAUUCUCAGUUCAAUAAACUCUAAUCCCCAAUAAUUCACCUAAAACAAAUCCAAAAUGGUACCUCCUGCUUAAAUGGAAAACGUGAAUUCAACUUCAAAUUUAUUCAGCAGCAAAUUGGGUUAAAAAAAGGAUUCAGCCUAGUCGGUUUGGAAAAUUGAACUUCACAAACACAACGAAGUAAAUUGGGUUACCUUAAUAAGCUCCCUUAAACUGAUUCAAAAUUCAGAUUCCACUCUUAGUUGUUCAUUGAAACCCUCUUCUAUUGCUCUACAACAUGGUUUCGCAUUUGGGUUUUCCCUUACGUCACUUCUUUUUUUUUUUUUUUUUUCAAGUAAACAGAGAAAAAGAGAUAGAGACAGAUGACCACUA
rnacentral:lncRNA from 1 species